rnacentral:rRNA from 1 species
UAGGGAAUCUUCGGCAAUGGGGGCAACCCUGACCGAGCAACGCCGCGUGAGUGAAGAAGGUUUUCGGAUCGUAAAGCUCUGUUGUAAGUCAAGAACGAGUGUGAGAGUGGAAAGUUCACACUGUGACGGUAGCUUACCAGAAAGGGACGGCUAACUACGUGCCAGCAGCCGCGGUAAUACCUUAGGUCCCGAGCGUUAUCCGGAUUUGGGGGGCGUAAAGCGAGCGCAGGCGGUUAGAUAAGUCUGAAGUUAAAGGCUGUGGCUUAACCAUAGUACGCUUUGGAAACUGUUUAACUUGAGUGCAGAAGGGGAGAGUGGAAUUCCAUGUGUAGCGGUGAAAUGCGUAGAUAUAUGGAGGAACACCGGUGGCGAAAGCGGCUCUCUGGUCUGUAACUGACGCUGAGGCUCGAAAGCGUGGGGAGCAAACAGGAUUAGAUACCCUGGUAGUCCACGCCGUANCGAUGAGUGCUAGGUGUUGGGUCCUUUCCGGGACUCAGUGCCGCAGCUNACGCAUUAAGCACUCCGCCUGGCGAGUACGACCGCAGGGUU